GCGUAACACGUAUGCAACCUACCCUUUACAGGAGGAUAGCUCGGGGAAACUCGGAUUAACCCUCCAUAAUAUGAUUGAAUGGCAUCAUUUAAUUAUUAAAACUCAGGUGGUAAAGGAUGGGCAUGCGUCUGAUUAGUUAGUUGGUGAGGUAACGGCUCACCAAGACGAUGAUCAGUAGGGGAACUGAGAGGUUGAUCCCCCACACUGGCACUGAGAUACGGGCCAGACUCCUACGGGAGGCAGCAGUAGGGAAUAUUGGACAAUGGGUGCAAGCCUGAUCCAGCCAUGCCGCGUGCAGGAAGAAGGCCUUCUGGGUUGUAAACUGCUUUUGUCAGGGGAUAAAAAGCCCAUGCGUGGGAAAUUGCAGGUACCUGAUGAAUAAGCCACGGCUAACUACGUGCCAGCAGCCGCGGUAAUACGUAGGUGGCAAGCGUUAUCCGGAAUCUUGGGUUUAAAGGGUCCGUAUGCGGUUUUGUAAGUCAGUGGUGAAAGCCCAUCGCUCAACGGUGGAACGGGCCAUUUGAUACUGCAAGAAUUGAAUUAACG
rnacentral:rRNA from 1 species